rnacentral:snRNA from 1 species
UCGGGGUUUAUCACUUUGUUU